rnacentral:rRNA from 1 species
GACGAACGCUGGCGGCGUGCUUAACACAUGCAAGUCGAACGGAAAGGCCCUGCUUUUGUGGGGUGCCCGAGUGGCGAACGGGUGAGUAACACGUGAGUAACCUGCCCUUGACUUUGGGAUAACUUCAGGAAACUGGGGCUAAUACCGGAUAGGAGCUCCUGCUGCAUGGUGGGGGUUGGAAAGUUUCGGCGGUUGGGGAUGGACUCGCGGCUUAUCAGCUUGUUGGUGGGGGAGUGGCUUACCCAGGCUUUGACGGGUAGCCGGCCUGGGAGGGUGACCGGCCACAAUAGGCCUGAGAUACGGCGCAGACUCGUACGGGAGGCAGCAGUGGGGAGUAUUGCACAGUGGGCGCGAGCCUGAUACGGCGGCGCCGCGUGCGGGAUGACGGCCUUCGGGUUGUGAACCGCUUUCGCCUGUGACGAAGCGUGAGUGACGGUAAUGGGUAAAGAAGCACCGGCUAACUACGUG